AUGGCAUUGGAGAGCGGAAGAGACCAUGAAGCUGAACAUCGAUGGAUUGCUGGUUUAUUUCCCCUACGAUUACAUCUACCCCGAACAGUAUUCGUACAUGCUGGAGCUCAAGAGGACGUUAGAUGCCAAGGGCCAUGGGGUGCUGGAGAUGCCUUCGGGUACCGGGAAGACCAUCUCCCUCUUGUCGCUCAUCGUGGCCUACCAGCGAGUGAGUCUGCCUUGGCUAGGGACUCGGGGGGCGCCCGUCUCCCGACCUCGUGCCCUCUUGAGUGUGUCCGGUUGCCGUCUCAGGGAAGCCACUGGCCAGCGUGGCUGAGAAGACCCACCCUGGAAAGACUAGCAUUCUCUGUGUUGCUCUCAGAUUGCCCCACCACCACCUCCCACCUCCACCUGUACGGUCAGGGUAAUAUGAGCAGUGUUAGUGUAAGAAUCACAGGAAAGAUAGGAAGUGCUUUGGAUGUGCAACAGUGCUCGCAAAAUCCCAAGUCUGGCAUUGCUUAAAAGCUGCCUGUCCAGCACCUUGUCUUUUAAUUUCAAAGUAAUUGCAUGAAAAAGUGCAGAUCUGUUCACAGCUUUGAAACCAUUGACUCGCCUUAUUUGUGUACCCACAAUCUUCUGUCUGUAAACUCUGCACCGUGAAAUAAUGUACAUUUCCUAAAGUAUCCAUUGCAGAUGGGGAAAAAAACCCAUGAAUAAUAUCCAUUUGUUCAAAAUCCUGACACCGUCCUUUUAAAACUUUGUCUUAUAGGAAGGGGCUGGUGGUCAGCUGUGCUUCUUCCUAUCAUCAGUUUAAUGGGAAGAUGCAGAACUCUUUUAAAGAAAGAAAAUUGCUUUAAAUGUGAUGUCUUUAAUUUGCUUUAACUCUACAUUUUAAAGAAAAGCCUGCAAGAUACCUCAAUAGAAAACAAAGCAUUUAAAAAAACCCCUAUAAUGUAGGUUGCAUGAAAGUGCAUCCACAGAGUGCAGAAUUUGCAGAGGGCCAUGUGGGGCUGCUUUCGUGGGUCCCUUCCAGCUGAGCGUCACCCCCCAACCCACAGGAGUUGAAUCCAAGCCAACCCAACGGUCUUUCUGCCCACCAGGCUCACCCUCUGGAGGUUUCCAAGCUUAUCUACUGCUCCAGAACGGUGCCGGAGAUUGAAAAGGUAAGAG
rnacentral:lncRNA from 1 species